CCGGCAGACCCGGAUUGAUCCUUUUCGGGUCAACUUGAGGCUGUCCGGUCUGUAGUCAAGGUAAAAGUUACGUUUGCCUGGAAAGUCCGUCUGCAUUCCCGUUGAACCGGCCAGGGCGAUACUGAAUGGAGAAGUUGUAUGGUUGUAAUCGUCCAUUGUCCCCAGCCACUCGGUUCAGCCAUACUAGGGGGUUAUGGUCUGUGAUCAAAGUGAAUUCCUGACCGUAGAGGUAUGG